AUUUGCUGAGGAAGAGCUUAAGAGCAUUGCCAGCCCCAGUCCUCUGAGAAAAGAAGAUGGGCUGGUUUGUUUGUAAUCCCUAGGGCUAGCUCUUGGUUUUUAGCUACAGAGGGGUGUGGGAGCCAAGAAUUUCUGCAGAACCUGAAAGACUUUCUCCUCCUUUGUGUGAGGGAGGGGUCCUAGCCCCUUGUAACUAUUUUCCUUUUGGUUUGGACUGUUUUAUUACAUCUUAUACCCCCUCUUGCCUUGAAGAGGGGAGACUUGUUAAAAGGUACAGCUGGCUACACCAUACCCCAAGACUGCCUUGCCCAGGAAAUGAUGUACAAGGGAAAUGUUUUUAUUCAAGCUCUGAGAGAUACAAAAUGCAUAUUAUAAUCAACAACACAUGGGAAGUAAGGAGCAAAGAUCACGUUGAACCUGCAAGCUGAAACCCCCAAACUGCUGCCAUUGUGGCCUUGACAGGUUCCCCCUCCAUACCCACAGAACGCUUGAGCCAAAUGAGGAGAAAGAAGCAGACUCAGGAUGACAUGGUCAGCAAGAUCCUGCAACCAAGUGCUUUAUCAGACCAUAAGCAAAGGCCCUGGAGAAUGAAUAGUGCAGACUAUGGAGAAAGGCCCAGAAGCAGGAGUGGGAGAUGCACCAGGACAUAAUGGGGCUUCUCUGUCAGCAAAGACAGAUGCUGCAGACUCUUGUGGACCUCCAGAUUCAACAGUCUUGGGUUCACCUCCCUUCUCAGUCCAUGAAGAACUCCAGGAUAGCACCUCCCUAGACCCUCCCUCAAAACUCCAUAUGGCAUCAGGGACUGCAUCCCUGUCUCUACCACUCCACACCAGGGGGACAUUAAGAACAACCACAAUUUCACAUACACUGACAUGUGAUAGCCAUGGUUGAUGCAUGUGUAGCUAAAAUAGACAUGAAUGUUCCUUCCCCUUCUUUAAGCUCUCUUCCAUAAAUUGAUUAAGGCUUUAAUGUAUUACCUUUUAACUUGCACAUUUUUAGGUAUUUUUGUUGUUCAGUAAAACUCUGCUGUUUGGAAAACAAUUUAUCUUUAUUAGUUCCCAACAUAUGCUGUAGAAUGCCUGGUGGUAAUUGUUAUUGUAUACUGUGAUAUAGCUCAGAGGAUCAGGGACAAACAGUGUUAUCAUAAAUGUGCACCAAACAAUUCCUAACAGGCCCCCAAACUGCAGGGCUGGGUAGAGCAUGGUACACCACAAUGCAUUACUGUGGCUCACUGUUAAAGUGCUUUUUCAAAGCCUCCCUGAGGCAUACAGCUCUGCAUCAAAUUCUUUGCUGCUCCACCUCCACCCUGGCAGCAACUUUUCCCCUUUGCUUCACAGAUAUUAUGCAGGACACAGUAGGCAGCUAUAACCCAUGGGAUAUUUUUCUCACCGAGAUCUAAUCUUGAUUGGAAA